UCCCCUUUAAUAGGCUGUUCAAGGAACUAGGCUUGUGUGUGUCAUAGGAUUUUAUAGCAACAGUCUUUCUAUAGGUCCCCGUGCUUUCAGCAAAUAACAGAGAAGCCGGCUUGCCUCAGAUGCAAACUAGGUUCUGUUUAUUUUAUGCAUGCAUACAGUCAGCGUUAUCUGCAGUUUGUCAGAUUAUGGUGCUGUUCAUUUAGCUGCUUUGUACCUAUACACACAGAGAUAUAUAAAAAGUAUAUGAAAAGUAUAUUAAUAUAAUUCUAUCUCAACAUAUUCGAUUCUUAAAUGCUACAUAUACUUGUUUAAUCUCUCAUUUUAGAAGUAGGAAAGGUUAGAUUAUAACAUCAGGUUAGCUCUCUUUGAAGCAGGUAAUAAUUAAGUUGAUUCACUGUUGCAAUUACUGUCAAAUCCCCCUUAAUUACCACGGAUUUUAUAGCAGCUUCAUUAUACGUCUGCUGUAAUGCAUUGUGGCCCAAAGGAGAAGUGUUGCAGGAAAUUCUGCAUAGCAUGUAUAAUUCUAACCUGCAGUUAAAGCUUCUAGUGAAAGCCUCUGCACUAAAUUUAUCUUUUUUUGACACUUUUUCCCCUAUUAUUUAAAGCAGUUGGACACGAGUAGCACCACUAAAAUAUACACCUAACUUCAUAAGUGAAAAUUGAUCUCUUCACAGGUAUUAGGAAUAAAAAAUGGAGAAAUUAUAAAAUUAGCUGUGAAUUAUUCUUGGGAAACUGCUCAGCAAAAAUGAAGAACACUUCUGGUCUGGCACCAUGGCGGGGAGGAAACUUCUGUCCCAUUCUGCACAUCAACCCCCCCGAACAACCUUUUCUCACUUAAGUAGUCCCAGUGAAUACAGUUUUUAAGGCAGUAAGAAUAGGCCGGAUGGGUCUGCUGUACAUCAGUAUUUUCAUCCAUUGUUCAUUUUGCAUUUUAUAAACUGGAUUAUACAAAUAUAACGUUUGGAUGGUUGCUUGGAUGGUUGUUAUUUUGUAGCUUGAUGGUUGUUAUUUUGCCUGCACACUGAAUACACUGCUCCAGUAUACUAUAAAAAUAUUUUAUUAAAAUAGCAAUUUGGACAAUAGUAACACCUAUUUUAUUAUCAAUCGCACAAGAAUUUUUAAAACAACUCUUUUUUAGCACUGACCUUCCAACUAACUUUCUAACAACAGAGCCUCCUGAAACUGCUGCUUUAUGGCUCAAGUGUCACUGCUUGUUUCCAUUGGAAAAAUCUUUACAAAUCAGGGUCUGUAAAUCGAGCCUGCAACAGUUCAAAACAGAUAACUGCAUAACGCGUCCCAUGGAUUCUCUUGUAACGAAGGAAUUUACUCCACGGAAUAUAUUAGAUGCAGAAAGGGCUUCAGUGUCAGUGACACUAUUGGCAGCUGUGUUAACAGUUAAGGAGCUGUCUUUGUACAGCAGUACAGUUAUUAAAUUUCUCCAGAGACCAUGACUCAUUAAUCAAAUAUUCAUACAUCUCUGUAAAUACACACUGAACAGAGAAUACCCUUAGAGUUGAGCAUCCCAGCACAAGUGCUCUUUCAUGUAACACUGACAAAAUCCUGAGAACAUGCGGUCAUGUUUUGCAUUUCUAAUGCUGUAUGUACUCUUUAGUACCCUAAUUCCUAAAAACAGAACACAAAUGAUCUUACUGAUCGCAAGUGUUACACAGUCACAAUUAAAAUUGCUUCACUAUUGCUUCAUGCCAUCUUUUUAAAAGUGAAGACAGUGAAUCGAUUCUUCUGUUCUUUGUUUACCAUCAGACAAGUAACUUUUUCCCAUACGGACAGAGAAACCCAAGGCCAUGCUCCUAUUAAUACAAGAAUUUGUAUUAGCAUGAAAACAACAAACCACUGGUUGAACUGUGAAGGCCAAAGAACUUCAUAUAUUUGCAAAGACAUGAGCUUGUUGUAUUUAACAAAUACUGUAUUUUGUGUUGCCACACUGCCAUAAAACUGCAUCUCUUCUCACCUGCUCCAGGGGAGGCACAAACACGCCUGGGCUGAAGUUUUGACCUUGGUCAGGUUGAGAUCACAGUUCAGAGCCGAGGCACCUCUCUGUGAUCAGCUGAAGCUCUUCUCUACAAGACUUUGAAAAAAAUCAGUUUUUGUUUGAGCUCCCCAUCCCGAUGCAUUCAUAUCUUGGACUUGAGUUCUGACUGUUGCAAGCGCUGGUCUGUACUUCUGAUUCAGGCUGUCUGUGGGUUGAAGGAGUCAGAUGACUUUAUAGUGUUAUUUGUAAAUGGGGGUAAUCAUCUUGCUGAAUGCAGAUUUUUUAAAUUCUGUACUGCUGUGCUGUGCUGAAUUCAAGGGGAAAAGAGAAUGUAAGGGAACAACCUGAGUCUUCAAGUCCAACUCCCUGAAAGUGUGGACAACACAAAAUCCCAAGUGGUCUUGACAAGAGAAGGAGGAUUUACAGAUAAAUCCUGGAAAGAGUUAAGAGGCUGUCGAUAACUUUGGAAAUAAAUCAGGUCUCCAGAGAGAAUCCAUUUUCUUACUGUAAUUAAUGGUAAAGAGGCGAUCCCUUCCCUGCCUCACCAAAUACCUGUGGUGUCCAUCUGGCUGCACUGUGAAAAACUGAAGUAGCCCCCUCCUUCCCGUUCCCAACGCUUCUUGGUUUGGAAGGAGAAGUUUGCUGCUGGGAUGGCAGAGCUACAUUUUUAACACUUACGUACUCUGGCUCUUCUAUUUCCAUCUGACCAUUCCUGUUACAAGAACACCAAACCAAAGGUCUUUUGAGUAGCAGCUCAUUUCUGGAGACACAGCUUAGGUGAGUAUGUGCACAUGGGUUUUUUUAAGGUACCUGAACUUCGGCCACUGGAGCUCAUAAGGCAAAUCCAUGCUUUAGUCCCAGUUGCUACUGCAGCACAGAGGUGCCCACGAUGUGCUUGCAAGCAUGCAGCAGACCAACAGGUACAAAGGCCCAGACAUAGAAAGCUCGCAGGAUUGCCAAGCCCAAGCAGUUUUGUUUUGGUCUGAUGACAAAAUGUAGUCACCUAAUUUUCUUAUUGUGUGUAUUUGCAGAACCAUUCUUCUGCUUUUUCUCUGCCUGUUUCCACACACAGGUGUACUUGGUGACCAGUAUGGGAAGAGUCAUUCCUUGACACAUUCCUGACUGCCAGGCCUGUUCCCAGUAACACCACAAAGGCUGAAGUCUGCAAUGGGGUAGGAUGGAUAAAGUCUUUCAAAAGAGAAGUGGGUCUUUGUCUAUAGGAUUAAGACAUGUAUCAGUGUUGUACAGUAACUUUCACUUAAAAAAAAUCAAAAUAGCACAAAAUUGGGAAAGACAUCCACUGUACAGCUAUGUAUUUUUCUUAGCGUCAGGUAACUCAGCACCACUUUCAACUUUGUUACAAAUAUUGCAGACUCCCGUGCAUGAAAGUCUCUGAAGCUUAUUACAUUUUAUUAUUAUUACUACAACAACAGAAGCUGUAAGUGGAAAAGAUAUUAUUGAUUCAACUAAUCUGCUGAAUGCAGAUUGCUCUUUACUGCACAUUUGUUGGCCUUCAGGCCAGCCUGCUUUUUAACAGCCUUCCCUGGUAAGACUGCAACAAUUCUAGGUGAGAAUAUUACACAGCCUUGUAUUCCCCUGCAGGAAGCUUUUCCUUGAGCAUCUUUCCCCUCCCCAAGGAUGCCUGUCCUUUUAUCCUUCCCUCUGACUCCUCUCCCCCUUGCCAGUGCACACACACUACCUGUUUGUAAAUUAUGGCAAUUCCCUCUCUCUUCAGCUAUAGAGUAACAAAGCCACACAGCUCCAGGCUAAAUCUGCCUUAAAUCCAUCCCUGCAGGCUCCUGAUCCUCUGCGCACUUUAAUUAGUUAAUGCCUUCCUUGUCAAAAAGUAAGCAGAAAGGACAGCACCAGUGAAACCAGACCGUACCGAUUAUAUCCCCCUGUUCUACAACAGAAGCCGUUAAUGGUGCAGCACAGGAUUGCAUUUUUUUUAAACGUGAAAGCAAAGCACAACUUCGUAUCUAAUUUCCUGUGCGCUGCCACCCAAAGGAACCCCUCAGUGGCUCUGCAUUAUCUUUGCUAAAGCUACAUUAACUUGUGCUUCACUAACAGCAUUCUUCUCUUUCCUGGCUCUCACUGACAUUCACAAUUCUCCUCAUUUUGACAUCUAAAUUCCAUAAAUAUGUUGUUUACUCCCUCUUCUGGGCUAUUAAUGAAAAAUAUUAAGUAAGAUCAAGCCAAACAUCCUCCCAUACAUGCAGCAUCCAAAAGUAAUAUUAUGCCAAUUAUUAGUAGGAUUCAACAGUGCAGAGGUUACUAAUUUAGACAAAUGAUGCAUGUGGGGUUUUUUUCCUGAAAACAAGUGAACACAAUCUCAUUUUGGAUUUUUGGGACAUUAACUCAAUUAACACGUGCAAGUGCCCACCCGCGCCGUGACAUACAUACAGACCUGAUUGAGUU